UACGUAGGGACCGAGCGUUGUCCGGAAUCAUUGGGCGUAAAGAGCGUGUAGGCGGCCACUUAAGUCCUGCGUGAAAUCUUGCGGCUCAACCGCAAGCGGUCGUGGGAAACUGGGUGGCUAGAGUGCGGGAGAGGAGAGCGGAAUUCCUGGUGUAGCGGUGGAAUGCGCAGAUAUCAGGAAGAACACCCGUGGCGAAGGCGGCUCUCUGGAACGCAACUGACGCUGAGACGCGAAAGCGUGGGGAGCAAACAGG
rnacentral:rRNA from 1 species